rnacentral:piRNA from 1 species
GGCAUGGGUCCAGGAAGGGAAUGGGC